rnacentral:rRNA from 1 species
UACAGAGGGUGCGAGCGUUGUCCGGAAUCACUGGGCGUAAAGGGCGCGUAGGCGGCCUGAUAAGUAGGGGGUGAAAUCCUGUAGCUUAACUGCAGGGCUGCCUCCUAAACUGUUGGGCUAGAGCACGGUAGAGGCAGAUGGAAUUCCCGGUGUAGCGGUGGAAUGCGUAGAGAUCGGGAAGAACAUCAGUGGCGAAGGCGGUCUGCUGGGCCGUUGCUGACGCUGAGGCGCGACAGCGUGGGGAGCAAACAGG